UAGAGAGGAAAAACAAAUGGAGGCUUUUCGUAAUGUUCUUGAUGAAUGCCAGUUGUUGGAUGUAGGAUUUUCAUGAUCAUGGUUUACAUGAGAACGAGGAAAUUUAGUUGAAACCAACAUAGGGAAAGGUUAGACAGAUGGGUAGCAAAUGCAGAAUGGUUUUUGGCUUUCCCACACGCGCAUAUUCAACAUCUUUCCUACUCACACUCAGAUCAUUUGUAACACCCCUAUAACCCGUAUCCGUCGCCGGAGUGGGUUAUGAAGAGUUACCAAACCAAAACACUACAUUUUUACAUUCACAUUUACAUAAGUUCAUUAGCAAUUAUAUGCAUAGCCAAACAAAAUCAAAGAUCGAAAUUCAGACUUAUACCGACAUUCAAAAGUUACCAUAUUCACAUGGCUUAUAUACAACAACAUCUUCAAAAUAUCAUCCACAUAAGUCUAGUCUAUACAUGCCAUACAAAUUCCAAAACAUAAUAGUACCAAAACGAUAGAUAGUGUGACGAGUUGCUGACGAUCCCCGAGCAAGUGGCUGGAGUCAACGAUCUAAAAACAGAGAAACAUAACAAACGGAGUAAGCUUCCACAAGUAUAGUAAGUUUUAAGCAAUACAAAUAAUUAAAUUAAAUUAUAAAUCGAUCAAUCAAAUUCUCAAGUGACAUUUCUUAGGUAUAUUGCCAUUUGGCCGAAUAUAUAUACAAACAUUUAAUGUAUAUUUAGCAUAUUAACUUCACUUGAAUCUGAAUUCAUAUAACAUAAGUAAAUCAAAUAUUUUCACAUAACUUCACAUUUUGGUCGAAUGUAUCAGGAUCAUAUACAUAUAGUCUUAAUACUUAUUCACAUAUACAUCAUAUUACAUACUUGGGAUUCAAUCCCCAAUAAAGCUCAUAUAAGUACAAGAUACAUACCUGGCCAACUUAAGGUAUUACACGAUUUCAAUUGUCGUUUUGUCAUGAAAUCUCAAAAUUUUAGAUUUAUAUCAAAUAACCGGCAAUUAGCCUGCUAGGUUUAAAACCCGAAUUCAUCACCGGCACAAAGCCUCUAGACUUUAAGUCUGAACUCAUUCACCGACAUUACGCCUGCUAGGCUCGAAGCACGAUAUUAAUUCACCAGCAUUAUAGCCUGCUAGGCUCGAAGCCUGAUAUUAACUCACCGGUAUUAUAGCCUGCUAGGCUCGAAGGCUCGAAUAGUACCGUACGAUAAUCAAAUCAACAAGUUUCAUAUAACAUAAUCAUAUCAAUUAGGUACUAGCAUCAUGUGAACAUAUAUAAUUAUACAUCUCAAACACUUUUCUCUCAUCUCAUUUUCACACUUAGCAUUCGAUAGCUUAUGCAUAACAUUUCGCUCACAUUCAUUUCAAACUUAUCAUUCGAUUAUAAAAGCACAUUGCAUAUUUAUCAACAUGUUAUACUUGCCAUUAGGCCAUAUAAGCAUGAUACAAUACACCAUCAUUUCAUCUUUAACAUUCGGCUAAAUCCAUACCUUACAAGGAGUACCUAAUUCACAUAAUAUAUCAGAUUAUAAUCAAUUGUUAUUUACGUUUGAUUACUUAAAACUUACCUCAGAUGUUAUCGAACGAUUACAACGGCUAUUCGAUUACUUUCUCCUUUCCCCUAUCCAACUUUGGUCCUCUAAGUUCUUGAGCUAAAUCAAACAAAUUUACUUCUCAAUCAAACACAUACAUACGGCAACCAUAUACAUUUCAAAAACCAAUUCAUUCGUAUCAUUUGUCCACUUAAGUCUAUCACCAUUUCAUUUUCAAAUUUAUGUACUUUGUAAGUCACAUUCGAACACAUUCGGUACUAUGCAUCUUUUCAAAUAUUUCUUUUAACAUUAAACUCAACUUAUAACUUUCUUCUAAUUAAAAACAUUCAACACCAACUAGUCAUGCUUACAUGUCAUAGCCGAAUAUCAUUUUAGACAUUUGAGAAAUCAUUUCUCAACUCAACUUAUAAUUGUGAAUCUCAUUCAAAACAUCCACACCAAUUUAUUAUACAAUUAACCAUAGCCAAAUACUAAAUCAAAUAGAUAUUUGUUCACAUUUCCAUAACACAUAUUUAUCAACUAGUCCAUAUAUUAGCUUUUAGUCAUUAGAGUGACCUAUUUAACUUUCAAGCAUUCAUUUCUAAUUUUAAUUAAACGAUGCCGAAUGCCAUUAACUACUAAUGCCACACACACAUAUGCAUAAAAUUCAUCCAUACAUAACCUAUAGCUCAUUCGGCCAUUCAUCACUCAAACCAAUCAAAGCUUCAUAUCAAACUUCCUUGGCCGAGUACACAUAUAAGCACAUAAUGCACAUAUAUGCUCAUUUGUCUAGCUCAACUUCACCUAUCUACCAUUACUCAUAAAAAGAACAUGAAACAACCAUUUCCUUCAAUUCAAUUUAUGACCGAAUGCUCACAACACAAUAAUUUUCAAAAUUUAAACAUGGGUUAACUAAGCAAUGCUUUGACCAUGCUAAUUUCGCAAGAAUAUCAAGAAAAUACAUGGAACAUACCUUUGAAUCAUGCUAAGUAAAUGACAGAAUGUGCUUGAGCAUUUUCCUCUAUUUUUCUCUUAAUUUCGGCUAUGAAGAACAAAGAUGAACAAGUUUUGUCCUUUUCCUCAUUUUGUUAUUUUAUUUAUCUUUAUUUUAUAAUAUAAAGCCAUUAAAUAUUUUAAUGCUAAUUUAAAAUGCAUAUAUUGUUUAUCAUUAUCAUUAUGGCCAGCCACUACAAAUUAAAGUGGAAAAUUUGACAUGCAAAUCCACUUAUUUUAAACCAUAAAAUAUUUGGCCACUACAAAUUAACCUAUCACAUUUUCAAAAUUUCUCACAUAAGUCCUAUUUAAUAAUUUCACAUACAAAUGACAAAAUCAAAGUAUGAAAUUUUCAUACAUACACUUUCACAUAUAAUAAGCAUAGAAUAUAACAUUUAAUUAUUUUUUUGUGAUUCGGUUUUGUGAUCCCGAAACCACUUUUUGACUAGGAUCAAAUUAGGGCUGUCACAUCAUUGCCCUCUUCUUAUGUCAUUGGAUAAGAAAAAUAAAACGGCUCACAUAUCCUCGUUUCGGUUUGAAGCAUCAUGGUUAUUAGAAGACUCCUUUAAGAAGAUGAUUAUAGAGUCUUGGUAGAAUUUAACAGGGCUAUUAACAGAUAAGUUGGAGGGGUUAAAACAGAGAAUUCUUCUAUGGGCAAACCAAAUAAAUAAUGCAAGAAGAGGUAUCAAGUAGAAUAUAAAAAACAAUGGGAAUGCUUGCUGGAUGAGGAUAUAAGUGAAGAAAACUUGGCUAAAAUCAUUGAUACGAAAAUUUCUCUCAAUCUAGAAAUUGACAAAGAUAAAGCUUACUGGAAGCAAAGUGCACGUGUUAAUUGGCGGAGAUUAGGAGAUAGAAACACAACAUUCUUUCACAAAUGGGCCACACAACGACAUAAAACUAAUGAUAUUCGUAGUUUGCAAGAUCAUAAUGGGGGGAACAUGGAUGAUGAAGAUGGGAUACAAGGAUUAUAAAGAAUUAUUUUUAGGAUUUGUUUGCGUCUUUAGGAAUAAGUUAUACGGAGAUGAGUUUAUAGGGAGUGCAGAGAUGUAUAACUGAAGAUAUGAAUGCACAACUUACAGUAGAAUAUACGGCUGAAGAAAUAUGGGCAGCAUUAAAGGGAAUAGGUCCUACAAAAGCCCUCGGUACCGAUGGACUUCCAGUAAUUUUCUUUCAAAAAUGUUGGAACAUAGUUGGGACAGAGGUAACCUCUUUUUGUUUGGAGAUUUUAAAUCAGAGGAAAGAUUUAGAGAGUAUUAAUGGUACGAAUAUUGUUUUAAUUCCUAAAACCUCACAGCCCAUUGAUAUGAAGAACUUUAGGCCUAUUGGCCUGUGCAAUGUCCUCUACAAGAUAAUAGCUAAAGUAGUGGCUAAUAGAUUUUAAAAUGUCCUAAAAGUUUACAUUGAUAAAGCUCAAAGUGCAUUCGUUCCAGGCUGACUUAUUACGGAUAAUGUGCUUGUGGCUUAUGAGAUCAUGCAUACGUUGAAGAAUAAAAGAGUAGGGAAAAAAAGGGCAUGUGGCACUUAAACUGGCCAUGAGCAAAGCCUAUGAUAGGGUCGAAUGGGAAUUUCUUAGGGUUAUGAUGGAGAGAAUGGGUUUUGCACAAUCUUGGGUGGCUUUCAUAAUGAAGUGUAUUUCGACGGUCUCCUAUUCAGUUCUUUUAAAUAGGAAAAAGGGAGAAGUUUUCAAACCAAUAAGAGGACUCCGACAAGGGUACCCCCUCAGUCCCUAUUUAUUUCUAAUUUACAGUGAAGGCAUGUCCUCAAUUAUACACCCAGCUCUAAUAAGAAAGGAAAUCAAAGGAUUGAAAGCUAGCAGACGAGGACCUAAGAUCUCACACAUUCUCUUUGCAGACGACUGCAUCAUUUUUGGUGAGGCAAUAUUUUUAGGAGCUUGAUAGAUCAAGAAUAUUUUUGCAGAAUAUGAAUCCUACUCAGAUUAGUGUGUGAACUUUGCAAAGUCUAUAAUAUUCUUUAGCACGAAUACUACAGAAACAAAUAAAUUGAUAGUUACGGGCUUGCUAGGCAUGAGGAGAUCAACUGAUAUUGAGAAAUACCUAAGUCUCCCUAAUUUGAUAGGGAAGAAAAAGAAAACUUCUUUCCAAAAUUUAAAGGAUAGGAUGAAAAGAAAAAUUGAUGGAUAGAGUUCUAGGUUCUUGUUACAAAGUGGAAAAGAGGUUUUUAUUAAAUUAGUUUUGCAAGUGAUUCCAACUUAUUCUAUGAUGUGUUUUCUUUUGCCAAAAACUUUAUGUGAGGAAAUGGAAUCAAUUAUUGCAAGGUACUGGUGGCAGAAGGGUCAUGGACGAAAAGGAAUACAUUGGUGCAGUUGGAAGAAUAUUUGUGAAUUAAAAUAUGAAGGAGGAUUGAGUUUCCAGGAUUUGGCCAAGUUUAACGUGGCUCUACUUGCUAAGCAAGGUUGGCGGUUAGUUGAGCAUCCAGAUUCUUUAGUAGCACAGGUUUUAAAAGCAAAGUACUACCCGACCACUAAUUUUCUACAAGUAGGGCUAGGAUGUAGACCUUUAUACAUGUGGAAAAGUAUUUGGGCAGCAAAAGGUCUUAUUAAAGAAGGUUUGGGGUGGAGAGUUGGCACUAGGGAAAAAUCUUAAUUAAUGAGGAUGCGUGGCUCCUUCGGGCAGCUAAUUACAGAAUUUGUUAUCCUAUUCUUAAUACUGAUAUUACUACUGUCAUAUCAUUAAUUGUUUGUAAUAAUAGGAGGUGGAAGGAAGAACUGAUUCGCAAUACCUUUAAGGCAAACAAUUCAGACAGAAUCUUAUGAAUCCCACUAGCGUUAGACGAGCAUACUGAUAUGGUCAUCUGGUGUGCAGAGCGCUCGGGUAAGUUCACAAUUUGUAGUGCUUAUAGACUAUUACAGACCUAAGAUCAUACAUCAGACUCUACUGCUACACAAAAUACAACCAAACUAUUUUACAAACAACUCUGAACACUCCAAAUACCAAAUAAAAUUAAAAUUAUGCUAUGGAGGAUAACACGAAACUAUUCCCAUGAUGGGCAACUUGUUUCAGUGAAGAGUGGUCCGAGAUUAUAAGUGCCCUAGAUAUAAAGCUUGCUCUGAGAAUCUAUGGUCUACAUUCGUUGGGUGUCUUAUAGCAAUAGAGUUAUGGAGAAGAUUAGAUUUUGAAUGGAUAAAUCAAGGUGAACCCAGUGGAUGGUUUGAUUGGAUUACAUGGAUUUUUAGUAAAUAUGGAGAAACCCAGCAUCGCGUUUUUGUCUGUGGAAUGUGGGUACUAUGGCUUGACAGAAACAGAAAUUUACAUGAAGAGAAGUCAUAUAAAGGGGAAGAUGCAACAAAUCAUGUUAAAUAUUAUAUUGGCGAAAUUGAUGGAUUGAAUGGGAGACAACCUAAAAUUACCCAGGAAGUUGAAAACUGGAAAGCCUCUGAGAAAUAAAAAAUCAAAAUCAAUUUUGAUGCCUCGUUUGAUAGUAAAAAUAACAUAUCAGCAUCUGGGAUAGUGGCGAGAACUGAAAAUUGUAACAUCCCGAAUUAGGGCCUAGUCGGAACAGUGGUUUUGAAACCACAAAUCUAAAGUAGAAAUAAUUAUUUUAUGAUUAUUAUAAGGUCUAUGAUAUGUUUACAUUCUUGUGUGAAAAUUUCAUGAAGAAAUUUUGUCUAAGGUGCUCAAUUAGACUUUAAGGACUAAAUUGAAUAAAUUGUAAAAUAUGAGUUCUAGAAGUUUUCAGUAUGAAAUUGAAUUGGAGUUUUAAUUAGAGGGUCUUAAAUAGCAAUUUGACUCAGUUCUAAAAUUUUGGACAAAAAUGGACUUGAAUAGAUAAAAUUUUAAAGAAAGGCUAAAAGGGCAUUUUGGUCAUUUGGUCAUUAAAUGGACUAAUGUCUAAAUAAAUAUGGGAAUGUGUUGAAUUGGAUGUACAUUGUAUGGUUAGCUAUGCAUAUUGAGAUACUUGAUGAAAAUAGAAAAUCCUGGUUGAAUAAAAAGGGGAAUCCGAUGGAUAAACCAUGGCUUACAUGACUUGAGAUCCUGCAUGUAUUGCAGAAAAGGAUUUAGCCCGGACGGGUAAUCCGUUGAUCUCAAAUAUAGAAAAUGAUCUAGCCUGGACGGGUGUUCCUUGAGUGAUCGAGCCUCCCGAAGAAUAUGUGUGCAUUAAGAAUUUAGCCUGGACGGGUAAUCUGAUUAGGAUCUGAAUUUAGCCUGGACUGGUAAUUCAGAUCCGAUCUCAUUUGGGUAUAUGUCGUUGUAGGGUAUUUAGCCUGGACUGGUAAUCUCGACAAUACUCUAUGAGUUUAUAUUACUGGGGAUUUAGCCUGGAUUGGUAAUCUCGCCGUAAGAUGUAAGGUUUGCGGGAGUGCGUAUUUGAAAUGAUCACUUGUAUGACUUGACGGUAAAUGGAUUAUCCAUCGAGAUUUUUGAGAAAUUCAACGGGUAUUAUAAUGAAUAAUGCGAUGAAAGUCCCGAGAUGGGCAUGGUGAUAAAGGUAAAGUUAAUUGAUAUGCUACGGAUAUGUACAGGUACGUACAUUAUACUCAUAAGUGAUGCCUUAUUGAAAUGUGAUAAAUGAUGAGUAAGCAAAUUCAUGCAUAUGUAUGCGUAUACAUGAUAAACAAGUAAAAAGGUUUGAAAGAUGAACCAUCCUUAUGCUUAUGAUUAUGGAUUGUGUUGUAAUAUCAUGUUAAUUUACAUUGUGUAAUGAGAUAUGGGUUUCAUGAAAUGAUGAGUUCAUGAUCAAUAAGCUUAUAAUAGUUACUAUGAAUUUGCACUGAAACAGUUUUGGACAGCAAUAAUAGUCCAACUUUGAAAAUCCACCAAAAAUAAUGGAAAUUGAGUUAGAGACUGAAUCAAAUAUGAAAUUAAAGCUUAUUGGGUCUAGUUUCAGUUAAAAGGAAUGGUGCUAGUAAAGGAAUCUCAUAUGAUGAGAUAUUUGAAUUCUUGUGAGACAGUGUCAGAAUGAGUUCGAAAUCCCCUGUUUUGACUUGGGAAAAUUACUAGAAAUUGUACAAAAAUAAUUAUGAGUUAGAAUCAUAUUAAUGAAAUCCUUAAUGAGUAUAAUUUCAGUAUAAAGAUACGGAAACAUUAUCCGAGUCUCGUACUAUGCGAUAAAUAAAUUUUAGUGAAGAAAGGUAGAAGCUGUCAAACAGUGAAACAUGAGAGAAUUUGAAUAAUAAACUGUACUUAUUGGCUAGACAAAAAAUUCUGGAAAUUUUAUUGUAAGGAGAUAAAUGAGUCUAGUUUCAGAAAAAAUUAAUGAAUCUUAAUUUGGAGUUCUGUAACUCUAGAUAUAAAUAAAUUAAUAACUACGACUCGAGAAAACAGCUUAACCAGAAUAUGAGUAAAAGUGUCAUUAUGGUUGAUUGCCUAAGGAAACAUGUUGUUAUAAUGCUUAUUAUUUUCAUAUGGACUUACUAAGCUUUAGGCUUACUCCCUCCUUUCCAUUUCCUUAGUGUUCUCAGGUUAGCUUGGGGUUGGAGAUCGUCGGAGGCAGCAUCAAACUAUCAAGUUAUCAACUCUAGAGUAUUGUCAUACGUGUAUUAAACACUUUCAAGUGAGUGGCAUGUAUAAGGAUUAGGUUUUACAUUAGAUGUUGUUAUGAUUAGCCAAAUGUACCAGCUUAUAUUGAUCUAUUGUAUAUAGCCAUGAGAUGUGGCUUAUUAUGGUUAUGGCUUGUAAGUCUAAUUAUUCGUGCUAUGGGUUAAUGCAUGUCGUGUGAUUAUAAUUGGUUGCUAUGAAUAAUUAGUAUAACACAUGUAUAUGAUGAAUGUCCUAGAACCAUUCGAGGUGAUCACGGCCAUGGAAUGAAUAUAUGGCCUGGUAGUUAGUUGAAAAUGAUUAAACAUGGACAAUUGUAGAAUGUGUAGAGAUUAAAUGCUGGGUAAUAAACACAUGUAAGACAAUAUGCAAUUUAUUUAUUUGAAUCUUUCUCAAGGUCGAUUAACAAUUAAAUUGAUGCUAUAAGUUAGGUCCAUGAUGUGUAAAGUAUGGGAAAGAAUUAAGGACAACAUAAGGCUUCGAAAAUAGCCUAAGUGUUGGCCAUACGGGCAGAGAACGGCCAUGUUUCUCAGCCAUGUGGAGGACAUGGUCUAGCACACGGGCGUAUGGCUUGACCGUGUGGAUCAAUUUGUUUGGCUAACAUUAUAAAUAGAGAGUUACACUGGCCGAGGAUAUGAGCGUAUUCCAAGCCACACAGGCGUGUGUGACCACACGGCCCAACCCACACGGGCAUGUGACUCUCCAAAGCAAGAAAAUUGGUUAAGUUGUCAAAAGUUUGUCGAAAGUUCUCAGUUCAGUCCGAACCACCCCAAUGCAUGUUACAGGCUUCGAAGGCCUAUUUAAGGGACGAUAUGCAUGUGUUUAAGAUGUUUUAAUUUUGGGCAAAAAUUUUGUGACCUGAUUUUGCAUGUUGUGAAUGUUUAAGUCUGGUAACGCCUCGAACCCUGUCUCGGCAUUGAAUACGGGUAAGGAGUGUUACAAAAAUGAGGAGGUUGAAAUUUCUAAAUGUUACCUUCAUAUAACGGUAGGCACGGCCUUUGACGCAGAAGCGAUUGCCUGCUACGAAGCUGCUCUCACAAGAUUAAAGAUAGGAUACACAAAGGUUGUUAUUGAGAACGACUCCAAGUCCAUCAUCAACAAAUGCAUGACACAAUCGGUGGACAAAUCACAAGUUAGUGCGCAUAUUCGAAAUAUUCGAAGAGAAAAAAGUAAGUUCUAGACCAUUACAUUUCAUUAUGUUCCAAGAUCGGCUAAUCACUUAGCCAACACCAUUGCUACAACAAGUUUGAAGGAAAUGGAGACGAUUUACCUGCUUGGAGAGGUCCCUUGCUACACCAAUAGACAGUGGGAACUGGAUCACCCACGGGAACCUAAUUGAAACGAAGAAGAGGAAAACAGGGAAUGGGGUAUUUGAGAGCGACCCUAAUCAAAACUGUCAGGCCUCAUCUCCAAUGAAAAUGAAAAGUUAUCCGUGUAAAAGGCAAAGUUGGAGACAGGUCAUUCAAAAUGGAUGAGGAUUUUAAGUUUAUUUAUUGUUUUAAUUAGUUUUGGUCUUUUUGCUUCUACUUUUAGCCGUCGCUUUGUUUCUUUUUAGUCUGAUGAUUAGACUAGUGCUUUUC
rnacentral:lncRNA from 1 species